UGUGGGCAUCCCUGUACCCCUGGAAUCAUCCAGUUCUGAAGGCACAGUUUGUAGAUGCAAAAGUGCCAGGGGCUUCUUGUGAACAGACCCGAGGCCUAGGAAGGUACAAGCCUGGAUGAGGUGUGUCCUGUACCUGAAAGAGAUGGUGGAGUUGUUGGGGUCACUACGUCCACCCUGUUAACCAUACCUUGUAUAGGGAGCGG
rnacentral:rRNA from 1 species